rnacentral:piRNA from 1 species
UCCCCUACCUGAAAUGCAGCUAGUGCGGCUC